GAUGAACGCUAGCGAUAGGCUUAACACAUGCAAGUCGAGGGGCAGCAUGGUCUUAGCUUGCUAAGACUGAUGGCGACCGGCGCACGGGUGCGUAACGCGUAUGCAACUUGCCUCACAGAGGGGGAUAACCCGUCGAAAGACGGACUAAUACCGCGUACACUCCAUCUUGGGCAUCCAAGGUAGAGGAAAUGAAAUUCGCUGUGAGAUAGGCAUGCGUCCCAUUAGCUAGUUGGUGAGGUAACGGCUCACCAAGGCGACGAUGGGUAGGGGAACUGAGAGGUUGAACCCCCACACUGGUACUGAGACACGGACCAGACUCCUACGGGUGGCAGCAGUGAGGAAUAUUGGUCAAUGGGCGAGAGCCUGAACCAGCCAAGUCGCGUGAAGGAUGACUGUCUUAUGGAUUGUAAACUUCUUUUAUACGGGAAUAACAAGAGUCACGGGUGACUCCCUGCAUGUACCGUAUGAAUAAGCAUCGGCUAACUCCGUG
rnacentral:rRNA from 1 species